UACGUAGGGCGCAAGCGUUGUCCGGAAUUAUUGGGCGUAAAGAGCUCGUAGGCGGUCUGUCGCGUCGGAUGUGAAAACCCGGGACUCAACUCCGGGCCUGCAUUCGAUACGGGCAGACUAGAGUUCGGUAGGGGAGACUGGAAUUCCUGGUGUAGCGGUGAAAUGCGCAGAUAUCAGGAGGAACACCGGUGGCGAAGGCGGGUCUCUGGGCUGAUACUGACGCUGAGGAGCGAAAGCGUGGGGAGCAAACAGG
rnacentral:rRNA from 1 species